UCCAGGUUAUCCCUGGCGGUCUCCUGAGAGUGCACACCUUUCGGUGUUAGCAACACAGGACAAGGGUUGCGCUCGUUGCGGGACUUAACCCAACAUCUCACGACACGAGCUGACGACAGCCAUGCAGCAUCUGUGGCACACCCUCGAAGGCGACCCACUUUCAUGGGCUUGCAGUGCCAUGUCCAACCUGGGUAAGGUUCUGCGCGUUGCGUCGAAUUAAACCACACGCUCCGCUGCUUGUGCGGGCCCCCGUCAAUUUCUUUGAGUUUUAACCUUGCGGCCGUACUCCCCAGGCGGAUGACUUAACGCGUUAGCUGCGCCACCGAAACUCCAAGAGCCCCGACAGCUAGUCAUCAUCGUUUACGGCGUGGACUAC
rnacentral:misc_RNA from 1 species